CUUUUAUUGUGCUCGUAACCCUCAGAAUUACGAGUAAUACUUUGGCGUGAUGUCACUCAGGAAGUUGAACCACCCGUUUGUCACAAUGUCACUUCCUGUGCUGCCUGAAGGUGACCCUGAAGGUGCCUUACUAUGUAUGAGCAAGCUUCACCGAGCAAUAUUCUGGAAAAGACCUGAAGACCGCAUCUCCAACCUCAGGAACAGUUGCUGGAAGGAGACGAAACAGACAUGAGUCCUGCAACUCUAUGAUGGCGCUGGAAGAGAUGGCUUCCGUUUUACAGGCACCUAACCAAUUGUGAGGAAGGCUUGCUGUACCUUGCUCAUCAUUUCGGAGACUGACUUGUACCAAAGGGCUCAGCAGAUGGGAACGCCUACGACUGUCAGAGAUUCAGAUCACGAUACAGGGAUAAGAACCCACAAACAUACAGAAGGAAAGAAGAUGCAAGUAAGCAUUUCAUUGGCUGGUGUAUACCAUGUGUAUCCUGUAGAACUUGAAAAUAAAACUUGAAAAAUAUAUCAGUAUCGCUUGAUACUGUUUUGACCUCAAUAUUCUUUGAUUUAGGUUUGAUAUCGAUAUGAUCAAGACAUAUCACGCUAUUGGUUUAUCCUUCCUGUUAACCUAUGCUAUUAUGUAAAAAAAAAGCAUAAAUGACUGUUCCUGCAUGCACAAAAUCCUUUCGCAGAUGUUCACAUGCUCUCAACUUAAUAUACUUAACGUGAGCAUUUGUCUCCAAUAAAAAAAAUGCUUGGACAUGUGGUGCGGCAGGUAGCCUAGUGGAUAGUGUUGGGCCAGUAACCGAAAGGUCGCUGGUUAGAAUACCCAAGCUGACAAGGUGAAGUCUGUCUGUGCCCUUGAGCAAGGCUCCAGGGGCGCCGUACUACCAUGGCUGACUCUGUAAAACACAUUUUACUGCAUCUGUGACAAUACAUUUGUUUUUUUCUGGUUUCAGCAAUUUAGUUGAUUUGAUAAUGUGAAACCAACCGGACCAAAUGUAAAUGAAAUACUACAGCUCAGAACUGUGUGUGAAAUGCCCUUACUUGCCUGCUGAUAGAUCAUUGACAGAGGAUGGGUUUCCCAUUGCACUGUUACAAUAUUUUUUAUUAACCAAUGUGUUAUUAAAAAAAUGUAACUGAUAGAGGCCCAUGAUUAACAUUUUUGAUGUGUGCUUGCAUGACCUGCUGCCCAUCUGCUCUGAUUUGAACUUCAAUGGAAUAGGUUCUGUUGUUGGAGAUCCAUUUGAUGUUUUGAUUGCUCCAGAUUUAUUUUCCUCCUUGGAUUAUUUGUUACUUGAAUCGAAUGUGAAGAAAUCAAUAGAGAACGCUCUAUUCAAGCCAACACACACAAACUGGAGCAUAAGAUUUGAGCAGCAAUUAGAGAGAGAAAAUGCCUUGCAGACAUAUGGGCUGUGGGGGGACCCCCCCCUCUCUCUCUGCACACUCCUGCGGACAGACUUAACUUCCUGUAGAACUGUGAAACAAACUGACAAGGUGAUGGCUGGUUUAAAUACAAACACUAGUGUUUCUCUUUUUUUAAAGCCUUGAAAUGAAUUUUUGAAUAUACUUUUGAGAUACUGCUCUUUCCCAUAUUAUGCUUUGAUAAAUAUUUAGAAGAACCAACUCAAGGCCUUUAAGGAUAGACAUCUGAGCCAGUUUUUAUAACUUUUAUAGUUAGUACCUGUAUAUACCAUACAUUUUUAUUACAUGGGCUAGAUGGAAUUAUGUAGCUAAUGUAAUUAUAUAAUUGAAUGUACCCUGUGGAUUUGCUUGUAGCUUGGUGGAUUGCAAAUUUAUUGCACAAAUGAAUCUGUAUUUAUUCAAAUUAAACAAAUAUCAAAUGUUUCUUUAUAAUCACUAUAAUGACCUAGUGUGGUUUUAUUUUAUUACAGAGACAAAUAUUUGAUCCAUGAACAAAAUAUU
ensembl:lncRNA